rnacentral:lncRNA from 1 species
CUCUCUCUCUCUCUCGCAUACUAACUAGGUUUGACUGUAUUACUCGUACCAGAUUUAAAAUUAGCUAGCCUUGCCACAACGCCCUACUGAGAGGUACUGUCGAACUGUAGACAGCAUGAUGUUCUUUGAUGGUGAAAGUCUAAAUCUGGACCGUGUUCAGAGAUACCAAAUGAUGAGGCUGAAAAGGGGAAACGGGGUUCUUCAGUCUCUUCUUCUUCUUUUUAUUUUUUUUUCCAUGAUGUUUUCUCUAUGGCCAGUGCAAAUGGUGUUGUCACCCUUGCAUGUUGCCAACCGCAGGGCAGGAAGCAAUUACAUCUUUAUAUACACGUAGGGUCAUUUGCCUUUUAACCUUUGAUCUGUAUCUCUUGCAGUAGAAUGGCUUUGUUUUUGUUGUUCCUCUCCUAGUGACCC